AAAAUGGAAUUUAUUAAUGAUGGCGAUGUUGUCAUUGUUGAUCAUGAUUUAGAAAAUGAGGAAACUCAAAUUACUGAUACGCCAGGAAAAUAUCUCGUGUGGAAAGUUCAUCACUCACUCCAUUCAGUCGAGCUUUGUUUCAAAGUCCUGGCACAUCAGCAAAGGUAUAAUAAAAAAAUAUAUGGUAGACGAAAUUGUACUUAUAAAUGUACUGUUAUUCUUCGCUAUUUUAUUCUUAUAAAUUGUCUUUGUAUAUUCAGUGUAAAGCUGGAGAAAAUACGAGCAACAAAAUUGCUGCAACUUGCAACAAAAUCUGAUUUCAACGCAUGUACGAAGCAACAUGUGUCAACAUUUCUAUGAUUUGUAUUAAGUUAUGUGUCAACAUUUCCACUUAACAUCCGUUGAAAUCAGAUUUUGUUGCAAAUUGCAGCAAUUUUGUUGUCUGUAUUACUCCACCUUAAUACCUCUGUGUAACAUUAUUCUGCAGUGUAACAUUAUUCAUGUAUGAUUAUUCAUAUGUCAUCUGCACCCCAAUUUCCAUUUUAGUAAAUGACAUACUUUUUUGUAGUUUCCUAGCAGAAAGAUCAGGCUGACUCUGUCAGAGAAGUCACCAGUGAAAAAAACAUAAAUGGACCUUUGAGGAAAAUAAAGCUUUGAUCAAGUUGAUAUCUAUUAGAGCUGUGCGGUUCCAAAAAUUUUAUCUCGGUUCCGGUUUCGGUUUUUUUGGAACAAAAAAACCUUGGUUCGGUUCGGUUUCGGUUAUUUUCAAAAAAGAAGAACAGUACAAAUGUAUGAACUCAUUUAUGUAUGUUUCAAGCAUUUUUACUAAAUAGAUGAAUUUAUGCCUUUGUAAGUUUGUAUAAAUCUCUGAAUAUUUUAAAAGAACAAUUGGAAUUUAUUUAUGAAGAUGUAAUAUUUCUUAGUUUUUAAAAAAAUUUAAAGCAAGUUCACAAAAAUGACUAUCACAACUAAAAUAUCAACUAUUUGAGCACUUAGUACAGUGCAUAUUGUGCACAAAGAGCAUAAUCUUGUUAUUUUCCAAACAUUUCAACCUGCAAUCAGGUGGGCGUUAAACGGGAAAUUAAAACCGAAACUACCGGUUUUUUGCGUAUAGUUUUUCGGUGCUGAAAAAAGUACCGGAAGAACCGAAUUUUUCGGUUAACCGCACAGCUCUAAUAUCUAUCGCCAAAAAAGAUCCAUGGAUCUGGAGAAAUUUUGUCCAUAAUAAAAUAAAAUAACAACAAUUUACAUUAGCCUAGUAAUCUAUGUCACUAUUAUUGUAGGGAUCCAUAAUAAAAUAAAUACCGUAAACCUCCAACUAUAAGCCCCCCCCCCCGUGUAUAAGCCCACCACAUCUACUAACGCUCACCUCAUUCCAAAUCUAAGCCCUCCCCCCCGAAUAUAAGCCCACUUGUUUAUCACUAUUAUUUAUCAAUAUUAAUCAGUAUUUUUGCUGUGCUGGUUUAACACUAAGUCUUGUUUAUCACUAUUACACUAACACAAAAGGUCAUCCAUGUAUAACCCCCCCCCCCGUAUA